GAUAAAUAUAUGAAUUAGUAAAACACAUAACAUUCAAAAAAAAAAAUAAAAAUAAGACGUAUAAAUAAAAUUAAAUUAUAUACAGCACAAAUGCAAAAGUAAAAUUGAUUAACAAGAGCCGAGUUUUCCCGCCAACCAAACAGUGAGCUGAGCUCUGUACUCCCACUGAUCAUGUUAGCCUACACCACGGUACUUAUCCAUUGUUAAGUGUUAACUACAAAUACGUAUGCGUGAAUUCCCAACAUAUUGUCUUUUGAUUCAUACGGAAACGGUGCACGUUAGUGAAUUCGCGCGAUAGAACAGAAAUAAAGGGAUAAGAUUCCGAUUGAUAUCGAGAUCGGAACCAUCUCUUCCCCAUCUCCGAUCGAUCAUCCUCCCUAACAAGGACAUAUUAGGAGGAGGAGAAUAUGUCUGAAAGAAAGAAGAAAGCUCCUACAUUGGUUGAUCUUUGUGUUGAUGGAGCAAUAGGUAAUGUGAUGUUCUUAGGAGACGUUGGGGAUACAGAUUCACAUCUCCUUGAUCGCAUUUUACCACAUUGUACAGUGGACAGUUGAAGCAUGUAGAGAAGAGAACAGUGUAACUGAUAAGCUUUGGAAAAGGUUCUAUGAGCUAGAGUUUGGUGUGGCGAAUGCUAAUUUUGUAACUGAGAGGAUGAAGAGGUGCAAAGCUUCCUGUCCAUGGAGAGACCUAUAUGAGGGUGAGACUCUUGUAGGCAAAACUGAAGCUUAUUGCUAAGCAGAGGGAAGUUGCUCGAUUUCGGCAACCACACAUAGAAGUAGUCUUUGAUACGCAACCCUAGCAAGUCCGUUUCUGCUCCAAGUUUCCAUCUCCAGGCAGUAAAAGAAACUUCUAUGGAGGAAGUGGACCUGGAUACAAUCUUUCCAGUUUCCAAUGUGAAGGGCAAGUUGAUGAAGAAAUAAAAAAUGGAGUUUCUUUAACUGCCGAGAAGUGAAAAAUAUUGCAGCCAUGAAGAAAAUGUCGAUGCAAAGAAACAACAGGUAAUAUUGUGAGUGUGCCGUUGUAUUAUUGUGUCCACAAUUACACAGUUCAUGUCAUUCUGCAUCUUGCUCUACAGCUGGGGGCUUUCCUGGAAAUAAUUCUGCAUUGUCUUCUAGACACAAUAAGUCAUUUGACAGAAGAUUCUAGAAGCGUGUGAUAUCGGAUUUGCUUUGUUUGCGAAAUGAUGUAUAUGCUCUUAAAUUUGUGAGUUGGAUUUUAGUGGUUGAUAAAAUAGAUUCAAUCGCCGAGAGUCUGAUUCUUGUGUAAGAGAGAGAGAUAGAACUUGCAUCAAUUGCAUCGAAAAAUCAGAGAACAAUUUCUUUGCUGUUCAACGUAUCAAAUUUUUCAAGACGACGUAAUAUAAAUUAACAUUUGAAGACUUUA